UUGCUAGACUGUGCUGUUUCCCUUCUGUCUUUUCUUCCAUCUGCUUUUCAAUCAGGACAGUACUCUGUCCUCAGAUAUUGUCUUUUGCCUCUGGAGCGCGUGCUUGUUGUGUAAAACUUCUAUAUUUGAGGCAGGUGCUGCCCCGCCGAUGCAAGGGGGAGGAAAGAAUGAGAGGGGACUCCAGUGGUGGUGGUGGUGAUGAUGGGGACGCCUUCUUGACGGGGUUUGUAUAUGCAGAUUUGGCAGUGCGUAUAUAUUGUGUAAAAGUGUGCGUGCACAUGCCUAGGAGCAGGCUCCCGGUGGGGUCUUCUCUGGAAUGCUUACUCCCACAAAUGCAGAAAUGGUAACCAACUGACUAGGAGCAUUUGCAGAAUCUGUUGCAUUUCCCAAAGAUGAUUUUUUCCCCUCACCUUCCAAGGCAGAGUCAGUGUGUGUGCUCUGUAAAAUUUGUCCAGAUUAGUCUUUGCCAUGAGGAGAGGGGGCAGCCUUACUUCAACCGCUUGACACUUCGGAAUUUUGCAGAUACAUUUAGCCAUCUGGGAAACAACAGGUGUGUAUUUCUGCUUUCCCUCUCCAGUUCCUCCUCUCUUUCUCUGUCCGGUACCUAAUCCCAUCCCUUGUUCAUUUACUUUCCUCUCCCCUGCUCCCAUUCGCCUCUCAGUUCCCUUCAACACUCAGGCUACUAGGUACAUUGAUGCCUAGGCAACACCUGACUGCCUGGCACUGGAAUUGGAACAAUUUUCCGUUCAUAAUUAGCCAGUGGGAUGGCACUGGGCCUUGAAACUUGGCCUUCUGCUGGUUCUCUGAUCAUAAUUCAGGGAAGUGAGAAUCUUUAUUUUUUGACUAGUCUUUGGAUGUUUAUCCUUGCAUUCCUCCUCAGGUGGAAUUGUCAGAUUUGACACAAAGACUAGGCAGAAUAACUUUUGAGAUCAAAUGGGAGUCAACUUGUAUCUUGUAGUGGGCAACUUGAACUUUUUUCUUGGGUUUAGCACAAGGGUGCUUAGAGACAGAAAAUUCCUGUUUAGGAAAUUUUUCAUGCUUCCUUUGUGGAAAUCAUUCUGCCUUUGUUUGACCACAGUCUGAUCAAAUCCUGGGUGGGUGUUGGGAUAAAAUAGAGAUUUCUCAGUGUCCUUUCAUAUUGCCUUGUAAGUAGAAACAGUGGUGACCUGUCGUGUUGGGAUUAUAGGUUGAGAAAGAAAUUCCAGAGCCUGGAUCCAUCUCCUCAGUCUGAUAGGGUUCCUGGUGUUUGCAGACCUUCCUUACCGAAGAGAUUCCUGCUACUCUUUGACUGCUGGGGCCCCGAGUUGUUGCUCUGGCUCCAAGGCCACAUUCUUUCUGUGCUCUGAAUCCGAUGAGGUUUACAGCGAGCUGGACUUCUGGAGAAAGUUUGUGGGCGUAGACCGCAGCCCAAGCUCCACAUCUUCCCACUCUCCGGAAAGGUGCUGGACAGGAAUUCCCCUAUCCCUUUUUGCUUUUUCCCCAGCCCUAUGGGAGAUCCAAGGGGCUUCAAGCUGCUGCACUUGAGCACUUUAGCUCGGAAAAUAUGCACCUGUUGGCCCUGGAAGACCAAGAUUGAGAACCUUUUUUUAGCAUAUCAGAUCCGAGCCAAGGUAUGAGCUGCUGCUGUCUGAAACUCCACAGACCAAAAUCUGCUUUAGAGCCAUGGAUCCAGCUGCGAAACUACUGUUCAGCCUGCACCCCUUGCAUUCGGGCUCCAGAUCACUUUAUCUUCGUAUUGGAAAAAUUACUGCUGGAAUUAGCAUGUAAGCAGAUGUGCUUUUUACCAGAAAUAUACAUUCAGGGAUAAAUGGAAGAAUUUUGUCAUGGACAAAACCAGUGCCAGGUUUUCCCCACAUGAAACAUUUGGACAACAGAUUAAAGCUGACUUGGUAAUAUAACAGGAGUGACUAUGAUAGUGAUGAGGAUUCCACUUACUAUGAUCUGAAGAAAUCAUUGACUGAGAAUUCAGAUACAUUGUAGGCCACUUUGGUAACCUGGAUGCUUCAGUAGACUACAAUGGAAUGGAAUAAUAUGCUACAGGCAGCAGCCAAAGAUUGAUUGUCCUGAUGUGCACUCGAGAGAUCUUGGUGAGAGAGAAGUCUUCUGCUGAUGUGUGAAUUUAUGAGGUUAGACUCUUCACAACCCUUUGAAAGAAAAGGUGAUAAUUGGUGGGAUAUGAAGGCAACUUUCAUCUCAGCUGUUUGGAAGAUGGAGGAAGGACACAAAUAAAUCCUGGGUCAUUGGAUCAGAAGAGAAGACAAAGAAAAGGGGGUGGAUGUGGGGAUACUAUAGUAAAGUUUUUGUACUUGGACAGCUUUGGACUCUCAACAGUGAAUUGACUCUGGGGACUCUUCUUGUAACCCUACACAGUCACAGCCUUUUUCUGGAACGUGUUCAGAUCUACUUAACAGGUCAAACUAAAUGUGGACUUGAAAAAAAUUAGUAUUUGAACAGAUUGAGAAUCAUGGUACAUUAGUCUGAUGACUUAGAGACAAUCCUGGAGUGUCAGACUUUUAAAAUGUAUGUUUACAUUCCUCCUACAAAGAGAAACAUACCCUCGUCAUCCCUUUGGAAUCAUCUUUGUUAUAGUGAGAACCCUGAUAGAUCUAAGGUUCCCAAUCAUGCUUCAGAAGAUGUGUUUUCUGAUACAUCAUGGGUAUUGACACUUGCAGUAGCUGCCAGCCACCAACUAAUGGCUUCCUGCUUCGACUUCUUAGCAUUGUUUGCUAAUAUUCACUUUUUGGAAGCAUCCAGCAGCUGGGAACCAUUUCAAAGAGUGUGUCUUUUGCCAGACAAAGAGGAUCAGAAUCCUACUUCUCUUUGCCAGAUGGCUUUUAAUGGCUAACUGCAAAAAUUCUUCUUACUUAGAGGGGAAUUCAAAAAAAUAUUAAAUCAGAGAAGCUUUCUUCAAUUCUGCAAGCAUUAAUUAAACAACUACGCUACGCAAGAGACUUAAAAUACAAAGACAAAGUUAAAUAGUUUCUGCCCUUGAGUAACUUACAUUCUACCUUUACAUUAAAGAAUAUUUCAUAGCCCGUGAAUUUUGGAACAUUGGGAUCUUAUGUAUAGAUGGCCACUUCUGAAGAAAAAUAACUGCAAUUCAAAAAAAUCUGGUGUUUUUUAUUCAGUGAUAUGAAUUUUGCUCCAAUGCUUCAGUAGUAUGAUUGUUGUGGUUCUUGGGGACCACCAGCUCCAAUCUUAUAAAUGUAAUUUUGAGACUGCAAAAAUUCUCUAUAGUGAUAGAAAAAAAGUUUAUUUUUCCAAAGUAGGAUUUAAAAAAAAAAGAAUUCCCUAUGUCUGUGAACAUAA